UACGAAGGGGGCUAGCGUUGCUCGGAAUUACUGGGCGUAAAGCGCACGUAGGCGGUCUUUUAAGUCGGGGGUGAAAUCCUGGAGCUCAACUCCAGAACUGCCUUCGAUACUGGAAGACUCGAGUCCGGGAGAGGUGAGUGGAACUGCGAGUGUAGAGGUGAAAUUCGUAGAUAUUGGGAAGAACACCAGUGGCGAAGGCGGCUCACUGGCUCGUAACUGACGCUCAGGCGCGACAGCGUGGGGAUCAAACAGG
rnacentral:rRNA from 1 species